AACGAACGCUGGCGGCGUGGAUAAGACAUGCAAGUCGAACGCGAUUUUUCCGGUUAGCAAUAACUGGAAAAAUUGAGUGGCGAAUGGGUGCGUAACACGUGGGAAUUUAUCCGGAAGUGGGGAUAGCUUGCCGAAAGGCAAAUUAAUACCGCAUAUGCCCGUAAGGGCAAAGUGGGGGACCGCAAGGCCUCACGCUAUCGGAGGAGCCCGCGCCCUAUCAGCUAGUUGGUGAGGUAAUGGCUCACCAAGGCUUAGACGGGUAGCUGGUCUGAGAGGACGACCAGCCACACUGGAACUGAGACACGGUCCAGACACCUACGGGUGGCAGCAGUCGAGGAUUUUUCUCAAUGGGGGCAACCCUGAAGGAGCGACGCCGCGUGGAGGAUGAAGGGCUUCGGCUCGUAAACUCCUGUCACCGACGAACAAGCAUCGGUAUAAUACGCCGGUGCCCUGACGGUACCCUGCAAGAAAGCACCGGCUAACUCCGUGCCAGCAGCCGCGGUAAU
rnacentral:rRNA from 1 species